AUGGGAAAGGAGCGAGGAGCUAGAGACAUGUUGACGUCAGAUCAGACGGCUCGGAGCCAUCCUGCUCUCCACUUGGGUGUAAUCACGGCGACGCUUUCCAAGCCCCGGCCCGGCAGCGGCCGCCAGCUGGGAUGCGGGUGCAGUGGGACGCGGCACUCCAGCCCCGGGGCUCCUCGGUACAGCCCGGUUUUGAACUCCGGAGGCUCUGUCUCUUCUGAGUUUGCCGCCGAGGUUGUUUGUUUAUUCGUCUGUUUGGGACUUGGAGAAAGCAAAAACGGUGCAUUCCGCGGGCGGGGUUACUCCCCCCAGCCCCCGGCCCAGCGCUUGCUUUAUCUCUGCCCGAUUUCUCCCGGCGCAUUCGCUCACAGCGUUGUCUGUCUUCCAAAAUAAAUACCGAGCCAGGCAGAUUUCCACCUUAUGUCUUGGCAAGGAGAAAUUAGCCGAACAAAGUGCGACGCUUACGCGCGGGCAGUCGCAGGCGCGCUGACACCCCGUUAUCCGAAGUGGUAGUCGGGUUUAGAACGAGCCGGGAGAGCUGGGGGUUGCUGUAAAACAAGACGAUUCCCUACCCAAACGGCAGUGCUGCUGGCAAGGAGAUGGCUUUGCACCUGCUAUUAAAUCCUAAUGAGUCGCCUCUAAUUGAGAGCUGGGGCUGGCUGACGGUAACGCUGAACAGCCAGCAUGGAAGCCUUGGCUCAGCAGGACCCAAAACCACGUUUGAUACGCUUAUUUUGACAAACCUUUUACUUCAACAUUUUCUUUUUUUUUUUUUUUUUUUAUGUUUCGUAUCACUCUAUUUUUUCCCCCAAGGAGGUAAAAGAAUAAUAAUUGAAUAAAUACAACUUAAUCCUCCA
rnacentral:lncRNA from 1 species